GCGGGGUAGUAGCAGUGGUUAGCUCGUCUGCCUCAUAAGCAGAAGGUCAUCAGUUCGAAUCUGAUCCCCGCA
rnacentral:tRNA from 1 species